UCAGCUAAUUAUUCUUCUCAGCUGCCCAGCCCUCCUACGCAGCCUGCAAUAAUGUUUGACUGCCUGCAGCUGGGCUGUAGCCUCUGGCACAUGCAGCCUGCUACAGCCUGUCUAUACAGCCUGCUACAGAGACCUAAGUCAUGCUUUACAAAACUGGGAAGGGGAUAGUUUCUUUUAAAACAACAACUGGAGACUGCAAAACUGGAAGCAGCAGCAUCAAACUAGGGAACUCACUCCAAAGAAAGAGAGGAAAGACUGUGGUGCUGAGGAAGCAGCUUGACUACUGGUUUAUGUUCAAUGGAGUUUCCUGUGAGAAUACAUUAUUUGGAUACAGUAGCUAUAUGAAGAGCCAAUGCUGACUACGAAGACAGCAUUACACCAUUAAAGGAGAUGGAAGAGACAUGGCCUGGAAAAUAUUAAUAGAGUUGUGAUUUGGGCUUGUUAUGACACAGCAAUAUGAAGGGAUGAUUUUCUGAAGCUCGGCAUUCAGCUUCAGAGCAUGUCCACUUGUCAAACUACCAUCCAAAUUGCAUGAUCAGUAAAUCUAGCUCCUGCCAUUUGUAAUUACUGGAGUUCAACUGCCAAAACAAUAGCUUCUGAUGUUCUUUAUUUCCAAGGAGCCUUUUCUCACCUCCUUCCCCCCAUAGCAACACGCUACGGGGAUGACAACAAGAAUAUGGCAGUAAAAUCAUCUGUGCCUUUUGCCGCAUGAAACCCACAGAUGGAGCUCAAUUAUCCUCAAAAGCCAAAAAGAAAAGAAAGGUCACAGCUCUUAAGAAUAUGAACAAAGAGAAAUCACAGACAGCAUUAUUCUGCCCUGUAAAACAUAUUUGUGGUAUGAACUGAAAGGUCAUACUGGUGGGAUAGUUUUGAAGGUGGGAGUAAUAUUUUCUAAAGGUGAGAUAGUUUUUAGAUGUGAUAUAGGGAAUAUGUCUAUAUGCAGAUACAGUAGUGGGAAAGGCUAACAUUCUACAUUUUUCCAUGAAGAAAGGUAAGCAAGCAGUAACCCUAUUUCUAGUACCUCUGAAUAUAUGAUGGACAGCUAGCAGGAGAACAAGAUGAAUAGCAUCUCUGUCCUGCAAACAUUUAUACAUGGGCUUAACUUUAUUUAUGCAAGUUGUCCCAUUCUUGAAUGUGCCUAAGUGUUUGCAGAAUCAGGGCUCUAGUAAUUUUUAAAAUCAUAUCAAAGUAUUGUGCCUGAAAACAUCCAAUAUGAAUUUAAAAACCUAUGGACAGUCCUCACUGUAGGCCUAAAUGUUUCAAAGCCACUGUAUACUUUAGAACAAGACUGUCAAACAUGAAGCCUGUAAAAGCUCUCUAGCUGGUCCACUGGGCUGCUGGACAGGCCAACAGAAGUUGGGGGCAUGGCUGGGAAAGUGGCCUGCCACAUAAUCCAGGGCCUUUGGUCCCUACUGGACAUGGCAGUCAGUGGCAGGAGGGCAAGCAAGGGCUGAUACAGUCUUGGUCCCCCUCUCACCAUUUUGCCCAGGCAACUACUGUGGUCCUACCUCUUCUGAUACUGACCCAAUGCCAACCCUGCUGAUGAAGUCGCUGUUAUUGCAUGCCGCACACUACAGCUGGAGCUGCUAUUGCAGAACACAGUACAUGCCAGAAGCAGUAACUCUGGCUUCAGCAUGAGGAACAUAGGAGCUGGAGCUACCACUGCAUUUCCUGUGCCUUGUGCCAGAGACACCACAGCUGCCACUACCAGCACUGCUGCUGCCAUGUGCUCUGGGCUGGAUCCAGUCCACAAGGAGCUCUGCAGUAUGUAUCCUGCUCAAGA